GGAAACUCACUGCCGAGCGAAAUACAACGAGCGGUGGUCAAGCUAACGCGUGAAGUUUCCCGCCUGGGGAUUACGCUUGCAAAAGUGAAACUCAAAGGAAUUGACGGGGACCCGCACAAGCGGUGGAGUAUGUGGUUUAAUUCGAUGCAACACGAAGAACCUUACCAGGGUUUGAAAUCAUUUCAAAACUCCUUGAAAGAGGAGCCUCCUUCGGGAUGAAAUGACAGGUGGUGCAUGGCUGUCGUCAGCUCGUGUUGUGAAAUGUCGAGUUAAGUCUCGUAACGAGCGCAACCCAUGUCUCUUGUUGCUCACUGAGUGCUUAAGAGAGACUGCCGACCAACAUCGGAGGAAGGUGUGGAUGAUGUCAAGUCAGCAUGCCCCUUACAUCCUGGGCUACACACGUACUACAAUGGUAAGGACAAUGAGCUGCGAUCCUGCGAAGGCUAGCCAAUCUCAAAAACCUUAUCUCAGUUCGGAUUGCACUCUGCAACUCGAGUGCAUGAAGGUGGAAUCGCUAGUAAUCGCUGGUCAGCUAUACAGCGGUGAAUACGUUCCCGGGUCUUGUACACACUGCCCGUCACACCAUGGAAGUCGACUCUUCCCUAAGUCGUUACUCGAACCCAUUGGGACGAGGAUGCCGAAGGCAGGGUUGGUGACUGGGGUGAAGUCGUAACAAGGUAACCGUAA
rnacentral:rRNA from 1 species